rnacentral:lncRNA from 1 species
GAGGAAGAAGGAGGAGAGGAAGGCAAACGAAAUAGGGUCACAGUGGCCGACUUGCUUAAAGAGGAUAAGAAGAAAAAGAAGUUUUGCUGCUUUCGGCAACGCAGGGCUAAAGAUCAUGCUAGCAUGCCCACCAGCGAGACUGAGUCUGUGAACACAGAGAACGUCAGCGGUGAAGGCGAGAACCGAGGCUGCUGUGGAAGUCUCUGGUGCUGGUGG